GCCGAUCUGGCUGGAUGACGUCAGCUGCACAGGUGAGGAGAGGGAGCUGCGGGAGUGCCCCGCCCGCACCUGGGGGAGCCACAACUGCCACCACGGCGAGGACGCGGCUGUCGUGUGCGCAGGUGAGUGACACAGGUGAGACAGGUGAGAAUGGACAGGUGAGAAUGGACAGGUGUGACAGGUGUGAACAGAUGUGACAGGUGAGUGUGGACAGGUGUGUUCAGGUGUGCUGAGGUGUGCUCAGGUGUGUCCCAGGUGUGCUCA